rnacentral:rRNA from 1 species
AGAGUUUGAUCCUGGCUCAGGAUGAACGCUAGCUACAGGCUUAACACAUGCAAGUCGAGGGGCAGCAUGAACUUAGCUUGCUAAGUUUGAUGGCGACCGGCGCACGGGUGAGUAACACGUAUCCAACCUGCCGAUGACUCGGGGAUAGCCUUUCGAAAGAAAGAUUAAUACCCGAUGGCAUAAUAGAACCGCAUGGUUUGAUUAUUAAAGAAUUUCGGUUAUCGAUGGGGAUGCGUUCCAUUAGGCAGUUGGCGGGGUAACGGCCCACCAAACCUUCGAUGGAUAGGGGUUCUGAGAGGAAGGUCCCCCACAUUGGAACUGAGACACGGUCCAAACUCCUACGGGAGGCAGCAGUGAGGAAUAUUGGUCAAUGGGCGGAAGCCUGAACCAGCCAAGUCGCGUGAGGGAUGAAGGUUCUAUGGAUCGUAAACCUCUUUUAUAAGGGAAUAAAGUGCGGGACGUGUCCCGUUUUGUAUGUACCUUAUGAAUAAGGAUCGGCUAACUCCGUGCCAGCAGCCGCGGUAAUACGGAGGAUCCGAGCGUUAUCCGGAUUUAUUGGGUUUAAAGGGAGCGUAGGCGGACGCUUAAGUCAGUUGUGAAAGUUUGCGGCUCAACCGUAAAAUUGCAGUUGAUACUGGGUGUCUUGAGUACAGUAGAGGCAGGCGGAAUUCGUGGUGUAGCGGUGAAAUGCUUAGAUAUCACGAAGAACUCCGAUUGCGAAGGCAGCUUGCUGGACUGUAACUGACGCUGAUGCUCGAAAGUGUGGGUAUCAAACAGGAUUAGAUACCCUGGUAGUCCACACAGUAAACGAUGAAUACUCGCUGUUUGCGAUAUACAGUAAGCGGCCAAGCGAAAGCGUUAAGUAUUCCACCUGGGGAGUACGCCGGCAACGGUGAAACUCAAAGGAAUUGACGGGGGC